AAGGAUUUAAGUUAACUAAACUAGUGGCCUUCAAAGCCGAAAAUAGAGAUUUUUCUAAGCCUUA
rnacentral:tRNA from 1 species